rnacentral:rRNA from 1 species
GACGAACGCUGGCGGCGUGCUUAACACAUGCAAGUCGAACGGAACGGCCCUGCUUGCAGGGUGCCGGUGUGGCGAACGGGUGAGUAACGCGUUGGUGAUCUGCCUCCCACUUUGGGAGGGGUCUGGGAAACUGGGGCUAACUCUGGCCAGGUCACUUCUCUAGGUGGUGUGGUGGAACGUUAAGUUUCGGUAGGGGCUGAGCUCGCGGCCUGUCAGCGUCUUGGUGGGGUAAUGGCCUACCAAGGCGUCGACGGGUGCCCGGCCAGAGAGGGUGGGAGGCCAGAUUGAGACUGAGAUACGGCGCAGACGCCUAGAGUAGGGCGCAAUGGGGAAUAUUGCACUAUAGGCACAAGGCUGAUACAGAGACGCCGCGAGGGUGAUGAAGGCCUUCGGGUUGUAAGGUCGUUUCAGCCAUGAAGAAGCCCUUGUAGUGACGGUACUGGUAGAAGAAGCACCGGCUAACUACGUG